rnacentral:lncRNA from 1 species
GUUAAGUGCCAUUGAUAUGCUGAAUGAAGAAAAUGACAGAUUGAAGCUAACCAGCCACAAACUCAGGAAAGAUGUGACAGCCAGAAUGCCACUACGACAGGAUUUUUUUUUUUAGAUGGGCUCUCACUAUGUUGUCCAGGCUGGUGUUUAAUUCCUGGGCUCAAGUGAUCCUCCUGCCUCAGCCUCUGAAGCAGCUGGGACUACAGCCAUUUAGAGAAGCAAGUCUGCGACUCUCUAGCAAUCCUGGAUUUUAUGGAAAUUAUCUCUCCCAUCUCAGAGGGUUUCAAGGCCCAUAAACCUGCUCCUCCCACAGCUUGCUGUCUGCAGUUCGGGGGCGGAUGAACCACUCUGUGUCCCAGCCCACUCUCCGCUGUUGAGGAUCAGCGUCCCGGGAUCUUUGGUCUGCGCUCUCCUGCUAAGCCCAGGACGUUUCCUUCCCUUUUUCCCUGUGCCCCUGUUCCUUGGCCACAGGGUGGAGGUGAGCUCACGCCCCUGCCCCUCCGUUCCCUUCACCUCCAUUCUGGCAUGUUGCCCCCACUGUUCUCAGACUGGGGUGCUCGAGCAAUCUGCCCUCCUGUGUUUUGGGGGCUGUCCAGCUGUAACCCCUUCCCUGGGUUGGGCUGCUUUACACUUGGGCUCCCACCAGGGUCCAGGAAGGGGUGGGGGCUUGGGGGUGGAGACUAUGGACCCCACCUCCUCCUGGGAAUGGGCACCUGGAUGGCUGCUUUAUGGCCAUGUGAAAGCAGAGCAGGCAUCACUCAUUCCAUCCUCAUUCAUUCCUUCACUCACAACAAGUGCUGCAGAUACCCAAGAUGACUAAGAAAUGGCCCCUGCUUUCAAAAAGCUCAGUCUAGUCCCAUGAUGUCCUUAAUCACACCCCCUCAAAAAAGUCGUAUUAAGCAGUAGGUAAGGGGAAGUGACCUCUAAGAAGGAUCUAACAGUGGAAAUUACCUAUCUUAACGACACAGGUAAAUUCAACUUUGUAAAAGAGUUUAUGGAGUGAGAAAAAGCAUCAGAAUCAAGUAAGUUUGAGGGAUGAAGCCAAGUGUGCUUUUAGAAAAGUCUAUUCACAUUGCAAAGGUUUCUCUCCUUUCGACAGUGGCUCAUGCCUAUAAUCCCAGCACUUUGGGAGGCCAAGGUGGGAGGAUCACUUGAGUUCAAGAGUUCAAGACCAGCCUGGGCAACAUAGGGAGAACCUGUCUCCAUAAAAAGGUUUAAAAAUCAGCCAGGUGUGGUGGCAUGUGCUUGCAGUCCUAUUAGGGAGGCUGAGGUGAGAGAAUCACUUGAGCCCAGGAGUUCAAGGUUGCAGUGAGCUAUGAUGGUGUCACUGCACUCCAGCCUGGGUGACAAAACGAGACCCUGUCUCUAAAAAAAAUAAAGUUUAAAUUUAAAUCUAAAAAUAAGAGAUUCCCUCCUUUUAAGUAGUCUAGAAACAGGAGCCAUUCUUGUUUCUAUUUUCUGGUUACAUAUUUAGUGUCCUGUGUCGGGAGGGUGGCAGGGUGCUGGAGCUCACUUCUAGGCCACACUGACCGUAACAUUAUACCAUGAGACACCCACUGCUCACAGAUGUGGUUAUUUCCAGGACUCCACUUCUGGAAACAAGGCCCCAAGUGACUGGCUGUGGGACAUUCUCCUCCCUCCAAAAGUGUGAAAUAAACAUCACUUAGAAAAAACUUUGCAAUUGGUAAAACAGUAAGCAAUGAAACAGACACUUCUCAAAUAUUC